rnacentral:rRNA from 1 species
CCACAAGGGGUGAAGCCUGCGGUUCAAUUGGAGUCAACGCCAGGAAACUUACCAGGAGAGACAGCAGGUUGAGGGUCAGUCUGAAGAACUUACCUGACGAGCUGAGAGGAGGUGCAUGGCCGUCGCCAGCUCGUGCCGUGAGGCGUCCUGUUAAGUCAGGCAACGAGCGAGACCCCUAUCAGUAAUUGCUAACUGCCCAGAGAUGGGUAGAGGCUAGUUACAGAGACUGCCGUUGAUAAAACGGAGGAAGGAAGGGGCCACGGCAGGUCAGUAUGCCCCGAAACUCCUGGGCCACACGCGGGCUGCAAUGGUAGGGACAAUAGGUUCCGACCUCGAAAGAGGAAGGCAAUCCUCAAACCCUACCCCAGUUGUGAUCGAGGAUUGAAACCCGUCCUCGUGAAUAUGGAAUCCCUAGUAACCGCGUGUCAUCACCGCGCGGUGAAUACGUCCCUGCUCCUUGC